rnacentral:rRNA from 1 species
GAUGAACGCUGGCGGCGUGCCUAAUACAUGCAAGUCGAGCGAACGGACGAGAAGCUUGCUUCUCUGAUGUUAGCGGCGGACGGGUGAGUAACACGUGGAUAACCUACCUAUAAGACUGGGAUAACUUCGGGAAACCGUAGCUAAUACCGGAUAAUAUUUUGAACCGCAUGGUUCAAAAGUGAAAGACGGUCUUGCUGUCACUUAUAGAUGGAUCCGCGCUGCAUUAGCUAGUUGGUAAGGUAACGGCUUACCAAGGCAACGAUGCAUAGCAGACCUGAGAGGGUGAUCGGCCAGACUGGAACGGAGACACGGUACAGACGCCUACGGGAGGCAGCAGUAGGGAAUCUUCCGCAAUGGGCGAAAGCCUGACGGAGCAACGCCGCGGGAGUGAGGAGGGUCUUCGCAUCGGAAAACUCUGCUAUUAGGGAAGAAAAUAUGUGUAAGUAACAGGGCGCAUCUGGACGGUACCUGAGCAGAAAGCCACGGCUAAACUAGGG